CAGGUUUCUUGAUCAAUGUUGUAAACAUGCAAACCUAGACACAGUUACAAGGAGUGAGUGGUGUUAAGGUGAAAGUUACCAUUAAUAUCAAAAUUAAGUUUAACAAAAAAUCUAAAUCUCUACCUUUGUAUCUCCUAGCAAUCCCAACAAAGGUGACAUAUUUUAAUUACAAUGGUUUAGCCUCUAUGUCCAUGCAGUGCUUGUUCAUUUGUGCUAGAAAUUAUGGUUGGUGAGUAAAACUACUAAUUAUACUUUUCUUAAUUUUAGGAAAGUAUCAAUGUACGUUAAGGGGACAAACAGUUUCAGUCCACCAGUAUAGGUAUGUGGUAUUUGACAAAAACCUCAAAUCAGCUCCCAAUGUGCAAGUAAAGGCUACAAUGUUUGCUAAAUGUAACCUUGGAGGGACAGUACCGAUUGAAUGCUGUGUCCAGUCCCCUUACAAAGUCAACUGGUUUUCUGGUUUAACAGCUCUAACAUCUGGUCAAAGUACAGACCCAAAUUGCAUCACUUAUCAAUACCGAAUGCAAAGCUGUUCAGAACCUAAGGAGGAAAGGUUCACAUGCAAAGUUGAAAAUCCAAAGGGCUAUCAAAAAGAAACACGACUGACAAUCUUUUUAGACCCUAUUAUCUGCAAUGAUGCAGAGUAUGGAGCUGGAAGAGUAAAUGACAUAGCAGAAGGAAAGUGUGAAGAAGGUCAAACAGGGACCAAGACUGCAAAGUGUUUGGAAUCAAGGAACUGGAAACUUCUGGAAGACACCUGCAUCGUAACCAUAAUCAAAGAAUUACUAAUUGAUUCAGCGGAUCUGAAAGAAGAAGAACUUUCAGAAUUUACUGAAGAUUUAAGUAACGCUGUCGAUGAAGAAGAAGAACAAAUCACUAAAUCAUCUUCGACAAUCUCUGCUAUUGUUGAUAUCCUAAAUACCAUUGCAGAUGUUUCAAAAGAUGUAAAAGAAGAUGUCAUGCAGAAUGUACUGGAUACUGUUGAUGUUAUCAUUAGUGAUGAUGCAAAGGAUUCUUGGAACUUUCUGAAUUCAAAUCAAACACAAAAUUCGAGCUCACUGUUGUUGGGUUCAUUGGAGACCAUUUCUGAAAGACUGAAUGGAACAUUUGAAAUAAAUACUAAACGGAUUCAGCUCAGGAGAACCACAUUCGUAGACUCGUAUAAGGAAGAACUAAACUCCACUGUUUCCAUAACCAUUCCAUCAACAGGCCUUGAUGACACAUUCGUCACCACCAUUCUUUUCUCCACCUUGAAUAAUGUUCUGCCAGCACGGAAUUCUUCAUUUGACUUUAGCCUUUUUAAUGACACCAGCAAUGAAACUGACACUGGAAACGCCAUCAAUGCUGCUGUUCUACUUGUCAAAAUAAAUGAAAAAAUUCGCAAUGUCAGCUUAAGCUACAACAAGCUCAAUACCACCCUGGAACUGAACCCACAGUGUGUCUUCUGGAAUUUUAACCUCUUAGGUAAACGUGGUGCCUGGGAUGAUGAGGGCUGUGAGUUUGUUUCAGACAUAAAUGAUACUGUAACCUGCACCUGCAACCACCUCACCUCUUUCUCAAUUCUGAUGUCAACCGAUAUCCCUGAAUCAAUCAGAAUAUUAUUGGAUAUAAUGACUUAUAUUGGAGUUGGGAUAUCAAUGAUCAGCCUACUUAUUUGUCUCAUUAUCGAAGCAAUUGUAUGGAGAGCCCUAACCAAAAAUAGCACUGCCUUCAUGCGCCAUGUUGCCAUUGUUAACACGGCACUGUCCCUGCUGAUUGCUGAUAUCUGUUUCAUCAUUGGAGCCUCUAUUGCAAAGAACCCAAAAGAAAACCCAGAUGAGGAGUACAAAGUUCCAGUGGGACCAUGUAGUGCAGCAACCUUUUUCAUGCACUUUUUCUAUCUUGCCAUGUUCUUUUGGAUGUUUGUUUCAAGCCUCCUGCUCUUAUAUCGAACAGUCAUGGUCUUCUCCCAAAUGUCCAAAUGGGCCAUGUUUGCUAUUGGCUUAACUGUGGGAUAUGUUUGCCCUCUGAUUAUAGCUGUUACUACAGUUGCUGCCACUGCACCUGGGAAUGGAUACGUGAGGGAAGAUCAGGCUUGUUGGCUAAACUGGACUAAGACUAUGGCCCUCUUGGCCUUAGUGAUCCCUGCCUUGACCAUAGUUGUGUUCAAUAUUUUGGUAAUAAUUGUGGUCUUGUACAAGAUGCUGAGAAGAAGAAGUACGGGAAACACAGCCCAGGCAGAUGAAAAACACGCCUUGGUAGUCAUUAUCAGAUGUGUGGCUAUACUAACUCCCUUAUUCGGACUGACCUGGUGUUUGGGAAUUGGAACCAUGUUGGACCCAACAAAUGAAGGGAUCCAUAUUGCCUUUGCUUUCUUCAAUUCACUCCAGGGUUUCUUCAUUUUAGUGUUUGGGACAUUAUUUGACUCCAAGAUCCGUUCUCUUGUUUUACGAAGAGUACCUGCUUUAAGCUCUACUUCUAACAGAACAAAGAGCACAAGUGCUGGGAUUUCCUCCAAUAGCGGACUAAAUAUCAUAAGCCGCCUUCGUGGAAGGAAUAUGUACAGAGUUACACCGGUUUCAAACUCAAGCAGCAACUCUGAAUCCUCAACCAACACCUAAAUCAGUACAAAUUAUGUGUACAUGGUCACGCACAAAUUUUUUUUUGUGUUAAUUUAUUUGCUAAUGCUGCUUUUCAAACGGAACUGAUGGCUAGUGUAGCUUAAAUAAAUACUUCUGUACUAUGAUAUUAUGAAGGAAUUUUAUGAAGGAUUUUUAACACACUGGUAUAUCACUUGUUUUUACUACAUGACAGGCUGCUGUUGUUUCUUUCUUGUCAUUGUAAAGUCUACAAGUACCCUGUAUUUAUGUAUGUAUGGGGGAUUGUUACACAGGAUGAGUAACAGUGGGAGGAAAGCAACAAAACAAUACAAUAACGCCCUCUCUCAAACUCAGCCGCUGACGCACAUUAAACCAGAUCCAGAUAGUAUAGAGAAAUUUUUUAUGUAAAAAACAAAUUAAAGACUGUACUAAAAGGAUUAUAUGAGGAAUUGCAUUUAAACUGUAAACCAAAGAACAAAAACAUACACAAUGGUAUUGCUUUGGAGAUAAGACUAAAAGGGGAAAUAAAAAGUAUUACAACUGUUAAAGCUUAAAUUGUAACCUGAGAGAAGGAUUCAUUCAAACAGAAACUAAUGUAAAAUGUGGGUCAUGAUUUUACUUCUAACCCAAAGAUGUAAACAUUAGUGGGGUUGCAGAGUAACUCAGUAAUUAUUUCAUAAGAGCAAUGCCCUAAUGUCAAAUUGUCUGCUCUUACAGCAAACUGAUGUAGGUGCUUUGACUUCCUCAAAGUAAAAUUAUUUUCUCCCCAUGUAUUUAGGUUUUAAAAAGGUUCCCUAAUUUUAUAGGCAUACUUUACAUUGUUACUCAGGUUUUUUUUCUUAAACUCAGACAUAUUCCCAUGUUCAGGACGCUUCCAAUGUAUUUUUGCUUGCAAAACAAUAAACCUGCAGAGUGAUUCAA